rnacentral:rRNA from 1 species
GACGAACGCUGGCGGCGUGCUUAACACAUGCAAGUCGAACGGAAAGGCCCUGCUUUUGUGGGGUGCUCGAGUGGCGAACGGGUGAGUAACACGUGAGUAACCUGCCCUUGACUUUGGGAUAACUUCAGGAAACUGGGGCUAAUACCGGAUAGGAGCUCCUGCUGCAUGGUGGGGGUUGGAAAGUUUCGGCGGUUGGGGAUGGACUCGCGGCUUAUCAGCUUGUUGGUGGGGUAGUGGCUUACCAAGGCUUUGACGGGUAGCCGGCCUGGGAGGGUGACCGGCCACAUGGGGACUGAGAUACGGCCCAGACGCCUACGGGAGGCAGCAGUGGGGAAUAUUGCACAAUGGGCGGAAGCCUGAUGCAGCGACGCCGCGUUCGGGAUGACGGCCUUCGGGUUGUAAACCGCUUUCGCCUGUGACGAAGCGUGAGUGACGGUAAUGGGUAAAGAAGCACCGGCUAACUACGUG